AUAAUGAUACUCCCGCGUAGCUGAGGUUCAGUCCCAAGGCGCGGCCCGGAGGCUAUCGGGGUGGUGAAAAUCCAGUGC
rnacentral:ncRNA from 1 species